UACUCUCACACUCUCUAAUUAGUUAGAGAGCGGUGGAUUUGGAUGCUGCCUGGUACUUACUGUCAGGCUCAUCUUAAAUGAAUUAGUGCGACUCUUAGUUAAACAUAGUACGGCGUGAUAAGUAACCCUCGCUGUUUUCUGUCUGAUUAGGAGCUCUGUGCUUUCAAACCGUCUUCGGACACUUUCUGACA
rnacentral:misc_RNA from 1 species